UACGAAGGGGGCUAGCGUUGCUCGGAAUUACUGGGCGUAAAGGGCGCGUAGGCGGACAGUUAAGUCAGAGGUGAAAGCCCAGGGCUCAACCUUGGAACUGCCUUUGAUACUGGCUGUCUAGAGUGCGGGAGAGGUGUGUGGAGCUCCGAGUGUAGAGGUGAAAUUCGUAGAUAGUCGGAAGAACACCAGUGGCGAAGGCGACACACUGGCCCGUAACUGACGCUGAGGCGCGAAAGCGUGGGGAGCAAACAGU
rnacentral:rRNA from 1 species